AUACUUAGCAUUUGGCAAAUUCUGCAAAUUUUGAUCUGAAAAAUUCAUUGUGAUAAUUUUUCUCUACGAUUCAAAAAAUUAAAAGUUAGGGGAAUUUGUAUGUGUGUCAAUCUGCCUUAAACAUUUCAAUGAGUUUCAAAAGUCGUAAAAUUAUAGCUUAAAUUAACAGAACCACAAUUUUUUGCAUUCAGUUAGUUUUAUUUAUCAACGCUGACCUUGACUCAAACAAAACUUAAUGUAGGUUAGAUCCGUCAAUAUCCGCAGGAGUUUUAUCAUCAAUUAAACAGUUGUAAAUCCCGAAGUUCAGAUACAUGCUUCAUCUUCGCUGAAUCCUUUGAGAAUGAGAAAUUCAAAUACGGUAUCACGGUAUUCCCCCUAUCAAACAACUCGAGAUAGAUAUAAAUUGCAGUAACAUUGCAGAUAGUGGCAUACAUCCAUUAGGAACUGAAUUCAAAGAACAAGCAAAAGGAAACUCAUAAUUUUCGAAAUGGCAUCUUCAUCAUUCUUGCUUAUUGCCGCAGUUGCCUGCAUUUCCUUCCAAUACACUUUGGCUUAUCCCAUGGAGGAAGUUGACUUAGAUGAAGAACCACUUUUCGAAUAUGUUGUUCCCGAGGGGCCUCAAAUAUAUGAUCACCUACGAUACGCCAGAUCACUUCAACCUGGAGCCCCAAACUUCCCAAUGCCUGGUCAAGGAAAACAGGAAGGGUGGAAAUUUGACCCAUCACUCACAAGAGGUGAAGAUGGUAACACCUUAGGUUCUAUCAACAUUCAUCACACUGGACGUAACCAUGAAGUAGGAGCCAACUGGGAUAAAGUAAUCAGAGGACCAGGCAAAGCUAAGCCAACUUACUCCAUUCACGGCAGUUGGAGAUGGUGAAGAUUAUGAACCAUCAUAUUUGUGAUUUUUUCCUCAAUACGCUUAUUAUUAUUUAUUUAUUGUUACUGUUCCUAUUUUAUUGAAUAAAUUACCUUGACGUAAUAUGUA